GUGGGGAAUCUUGCGCAAUGGGCGAAAGCCUGACGCAGCCAUGCCGCGUGAAUGAUGAAGGUCUUAGGAUUGUAAAAUUCUUUCACCGGGGACGAUAAUGACGGUACCCGGAGAAGAAGCUCCGGCUAACUUCGUGCCAGCAGCCGCGGUAAUACGAAGGGGGCUAGCGUUGCUCGGAAUUACUGGGCGUAAAGGGCGCGUAGGCGGACAGCUUAGUCAGAGGUGAAAGCCCAGGGCUCAACCUUGGAAUUGCCUUUGAUACUGGCUGUCUUGAGUGUGGGAGAGGUGAGUGGAACUCCGAGUGUAGAGGUGAAAUUCGUAGAUAUUCGGAAGAACACCAGUGGCGAAGGCGACUCACUGGCCCAAUACUGACGCUGAGGCGCGAAAGCGUGGGGAGCAAACAGGAUUAGAUACCCUAGUAGUCC
rnacentral:rRNA from 1 species